rnacentral:lncRNA from 1 species
ACUUACUACAACAUGAUAUCUCUACUUAGCAUAAAUAGCAUAAGUAUGAAGCAACUAUGCAUGAAGUAAAAGUCUCCAACUAUCAUAAUGUUCACAAUACGAAAUAGUAAAGUUCCGUUGUUUACUAUUCUAGUCAAUGUCCAAGUAAUACUCUAAGUCAUCAUCUGUCCACCUGUCAUAAUGAAUACCCAAGUCAAAUCUGAAGAGACCCACCCGAAGGCUGUCUAUGGCCCUGAGACCCACCCGUAGGCUGUCUGGCCGGUGCCGAGCCCAAUGGCCCCGUGGUAGUCAUCAUCCCCACCCUAGGAAUGAGCCUUGCCCACGGCAAUCCACUUCGGCGCCCAAUCCCGCACGGCGAAUAUGAAUCGCGAUGGCUAUCUCCGGAGUGCCGGCUUGUAGGGAGCGACCCUCACAAGCAUGCGCGAAUGAGCACAAUGGCAAGUAGUCAAACGAUCUGUCGCAAGUACCAAGUCCUCACGUCUGGUAACAUGGAAUGUGUCAAGUACCCCAAUGGCCUAUCCCUAUGUCAUCAUGUCUCUAACAUGGAAUGUAGCGGAUAAGUAGUGGCCUAUCAAUAUGUCUCUAUGUUGCAGUUUCAUAGUUUACUAAUUCCAAGUGCCCCUUUAUGACACUUUUGUUCAACGAGUCCCAAGCAUGGCAUUAAUAUGUUCAUGAUGCAUAGUCCACUCAAUUCUAGCAUGGAGACAUGUUCUCAACUUGCAAAACCAAGCACUAUCCACAAUGCAUGCAAUCUACACAUAUAGCUCUACUAUAUGGAGUACAAAUUUUACGGUACAUGAGGCAUGCAUGUUAAGUGUUCUAAAAUUCAUAUAAAUCAUGUUUAGCAUGAAUUUGCAUUCAAAAAUACUUUACAAAAGUUUAGAAGGCAUAGGGGCCAUUUUACCCCAUUUUCAUGAAGUCAAACCCACCAAAAUCGACUUCUUCGUUUCGCCGAACGAAGGUAUCCACAAGCUUCCUAGUACCCUAGAAACAUCAAAAAUAGGGUCACCCAAACGAAACGAAGAGCAAAUAGCUCAAUCAUUAAGCUCCUCAAGCUAGGGUUGAAGAAAACUCACCUCAAGUGAAAAACCCUCUUUUAAUCCUCAAAUGGAAGGUAGAGGUCUCCCAAUCAAACCUAUAUAAAGGUUCCAAACCAUUCAAAUGAGAUCAAGAAGCCUCAAAUCCAAAAACCCCUAAAAUAAACCCUAAAUCCCAAAAUCUAGGGUUUCAUCUAGUUUCCAAAUGAACUUGACUCCUUUGUGCGUGAGCCUCGUGAGGGGAGUAGACAGUUUAGCAAACCCCUCUACAAAUCUCCGGUAGUAACCGGCCAAUCCAAGGAAGCUCCGUAUCUCCGUGACGCUCGUCGGUCUCGGCCAAUCCUUGAUUGCUUCAAUCUUCUUAGGAUCCACGGCUAUACCCGAUCCAGAAAUCAAGUGUCCAAGGAAGGCUACCUCUCGCAGCCAAAAUUCACUUUUCUUCAACUUGGCAUAAAGCUCCUUUUCCCGAAGUAUUUGGAGUACAAUCCUCAAAUGCUCCUCGUGAUCCACAUCGCUUCGGGAGUAGACCAAAAUGUCGUCGAUGAACACCACGACGAAACUGUCUAGAUAAGGCUUAAAGACACGGUUCAUCAGAUCCAUAAAAGCUGCCGGGGCAUUAGUAAGCCCAAACGGCAUAACUGUGAACUCGUAAUGCCCAUAUCGUGUCCUAAAAGCCGUCUUUGGAACGUCCUCGGGCUUAAUCUUUAACUGGUGGUAUCCCGAUUGUAAGUCUAUCUUGGAAUACACACACGAUCCCUGAAGCUGAUCAAACAAGUCGUCAAUUCUUGGAAACGGAUACUUGUUCUUGAUCGUGACUUUGUUGAGUUCACGAUAAUCCACGCAAAGGCGAAGUGAUCCGUCAUUCUUCUUGACGAACAAAACUGGUGCUCCCCAAGGUGAAACGCUCGGGCGAGUGAAGCCUUUGUCCAACAAAUCUUGCAGCUGUGCCCUCAGCUCCCUCAGGUCUGCCGGUGCCAUCCUAUAGGGUGCCUUUGAGAUUGGGGUAGUCCCAGGGACGAGAUCUACCACAAACUCAAUCUCCCUAUCAGGAGGCAUACCCGGUAGCUCAGCUGGAAACACAUCCUGAAACUCUCGCACUACCGGGAUAUCCUCGAUCCUAGGGGUGUCAUCCUUACCCCUCAGCACAACACUAGCCAAAUAGGCUACGCAACCUCUACAAAUCAGCUGCCUAGCUCGAGACGAGCUGAUCGUCAUCGCAAACAGUGAACUCCGGCAUCCACAAAACACCACCUCGGUCUGUCCUGGUUCUCUAAAAGUAACCGUGCGAUUCUUGCAAUCAAUCGUAGAAUAAUACUUGGUCAACCAAUCCAUGCCCAAGACCACGUCAAAAUCCCCCAGCUUGCGCAGAGCUAGCAAAUCUAUAGGCAUGAUCCAAUUUUCUACCCGAAUAGGGCAACUGGGGCUAUACUCUCUAAUAUCCAAAAUAUGGUCGGGUACAACAACAUAUCCCGUAUGCAACAAAGAAACCAACGGGAUGCCAUGCAACUCGGCAAACAGCCGAUCUAUAAAUGAAUGCGAUGUACCGGUAUCGAAUAAAGCACGAACUCUAAUGCCAUCAAGUAAAAUGAUACCUGCAACCACAUCCUCGGCUGCUGCCGCCUCCUCGGUCUGAGUGGCGUACAUGCGCCCACUCGGGGCCUGUCGAGAUCCCUCGCUCUAGCGCUGGACGGGUGGCCGCCCAGGCUGGUACUGUGUCGACGGAGUCCCGUGGCUGACGGCUGGUAGAGCCGGUGCUGAUGCAGUCGACGGUGCCGGUGAAGAACCUCUCGGGCACUCGGUACGGACGUGGCCCUCCUGGCCACACUGGAAACACCUGCCCGCCCGCUGUGGACACUGCGGUGGGUAAUGGGGACCACUGCAGAUCACACACGGGGAAGGCCGGCGCCGAUCGGAUCCUCCUCGCUGUGCUGCUGAGCCGCGUCCACGGUGCUGGCUCCUCGGAUGCUUUGGCGGCCUCCUAGAGUGCGUCUGACUCGUACCAUCAGCCGCAGGCCUCUUGGCCUUCCCUCUGUCCCUAGCUUCACGCUACUCCUGGACCUCUGUCGCGCCGCUCUUCACGAUGAGCGCGCGAUCCACAACCUCCCGGUAGGUUUGGAGGUUAGAGGAUUGCACAAACCGGAAGAUCGACGGUCGCAACCCUCGCUCGAAGAUGCGGGCCUUGUCCUCGUCGUCCCGCACGACGAAGGGCACACAAUGCAGAAGCCGAGAAAACUCCCUCUCGUACUCGGCUACAGUCCUGUUACCCUGGCGCAAGCUGCGCAAAUCCUGCUCCAUCUUCCUCUUGACGCUGGUCGGGAAGUAUUGCGCCAGAAGAAGCUCCUUGAACCUCGUCCAAGUCAUAGCUGCCAAGUCAGUGCUGGGGUACUCCUGGAAAUCCAACCACCAGUGGUAGGCCUCGCCGUCCAAAUGGUGAAUGGCGAGCCAAACUCGAUCCCUUUCCUCAACGAAGGUGUCACGGAAGAGCUUCUCCAUAUGCAUCAACCACUUCUCUACGAUCCAGUGGUCGACCUUCUCGCCGUCGAAGACUCGGGGACCGCACCUCCUGAACUCAUUGAGGCGCUCCAUCAGUCUAUCUCGCUCCGCCCCCUCAACCAAAGUAGGGAAUGCUGCUCCAACCGGGGGCCUCUGCACAGGUGGUGCCACCAAAACCUCCUCCUAGGGUGCGGCCGCAGGCGCCGCACGUGAAGAACUGGGUGCGGGGGACGGCGCUCUCGGUGCAACGUCCACAACUGGUGCUGGCGGGGUAGGGGCCUGAGUCUCCCUAGAAGCUGCCGCCUGCUGUAGGAGCUAGUCCUCCAGACGCUUCAUCCGCGCCUCCUGUCGGCGCGCCGCCUCGGUCUGCUGUCGGGCCGCCUCCGCCUGCUGAGUGACCAAAUCAGUAAGGGCCGCAAGCUGACCCCUUAACUCACGGACCUCGCUGGAUCCGGAGGUAGCGGAGGUCUCGACCUCCUCGAAAUUUGCCGCAUUGUCCGCCCCGGUAGAUUGGGAGCGAGUAAUCGGCAUCGUCACUACAACAUCAUAAAAGCGUAAGUUAUAAGUACUCACGCUAUCACAUCCCCGCUCAAAAGACAAGCCCAAAUCAUGCGAAAGUAAAGAAGUGUUCUACACUACUAACUCACGAUGUUACGUUGUCGGCCGCCAACGUAACGCUCCGCGAAGUUAGAAGUCGAACACUCCGAUUUAACUCCACUUUCUAGAGUUAACCAAGAUACCCAAUCUAGAUACGUUCGCUUACAAGUCAAAUAGACCUCGUCUCUCACGAGCCUAUUUCUUAUAGUCCAACCGGCAUAAGGUCUGCUAGGUCCCCUAAGACUCAACCCUAGGCUCUGAUACCAAAUUAAUCUGUCAUGCCCCGGGACCCAGCGGAAGCCCGCCCGGCGCGUGCCCAGACCCGCCAUACGUCUAAAACAUAUAAGGCGUCUAAAAACAACAAUAAUAAAAGCAAUAGUAAAAGACAUCUAGGAGUAUCAGAGCGUAACAAAUAUCUAAAUGCUACAACAAGGGAUAAGGAUAAAACUGUAAAUCCACUAAAUAAAACAUAAAAUGAUACAAGGAAAUUCCAGAUACAAGUGCUAUAGGUAGAUACAUAGGUGGUCUCUAUAUAGGGAUACAAAAACCUCUCACUCUCUCAACUACAAAAAGAAAGAGUAAACCACCUAGGCAAAGUACCGCUCCUCGCUAGCUAGCUAAGCGAUCCCCUUGCCGCGAUCCCGUGCCUCCGCCUGUGCCGAAGGCUCUGAAAAGUAAACCAUAAAACGGGGGCGUGAGAACUAUUAAAAAUAGUUCCCAGUGGGCAAUUACUGACUUCAGUGAAUGCACCACAAGGCCCAAAGCUACAAAAGAUGUCAGUGACUAUAAAUGUAGAAAAGCGAAAGGUAAGUAAAAAUGUAACUUACUACAACAUGAUAUCUCUACUUAGCAUAAAUAGCAUUAGUAUGAAGCAACUAUGCAUGAAGUAAAAGUCUCCAACUAUCAUAAUGUUCACAAUGCGAAAUAGUAAAGUUCCGUUGUUUACUAUUCUAGUCAAUGUCCAAGUAAUACUCUAAGUCAUCAUCUGUCCACCUGUCAUAAUGAAUACCCAAGUCAAAUCUGAAGAGACCCACCCGAAGGCUGUCUAUGGCCCUGAGACCCACCC